GUAUAAAAAAUCUUAUUAGCAUGAACUCUAAUUUGGUCCAUGAAAUAUGAAGAAUAUAGUCUUUUGGAAGGGAGUGCAUUUAAGAGAGGUGGUUGGAGUUGACAGAAGCAAAGAAGCACUGAAAAACAGAUAAAGAGUAAGAUUAAAAUUGAGAGACGCAGAAGAAGUUAAGGCGAAAGAGAAUGGAAGAAGAGAGAAGAGCAACAUUCUACGUGUACCAUCCAUGCGAUUUUCUUCAAGAAGCAGUGAGGGCAGUUUUGAAGUGUCUGGGUAUUGAGUCUUCACAACCAAAAGAAGAGAGAAACUCAUCGCCACAAACACAUGCUGCUGCAGAUCCUACUACAAACUCUCCAACAAAAACUCAAACAUCCCUAGAUGAUGCUGCAGAUCCACCAUCUAAUGCAAGUUUAUUUGCAAGGCGUGAUGGUAGUCGAAGGUCUGCAAUCAGCCAUGGACCCGGCCCUCAGCAUAAUUAAUAUAUGCCAUGGCUCUGCACUUUCCACUUCAAAAUUUCAGAAGUUUUAAGGGCUUACUCUAGGACCAGCCCUUCUGAAUAAAUAAAAAAUUGUGUUCACUUUCCUUCUCAGUGUUUAUCUAACAGAAGCAAGUUAUCGUAAAUUUGCUUUCGCUACCUAUUUAUUGAUCUUUCAUCUACUUUACCAUUUCUAGAUAGAGUUGUAUUGUAUUGUAUGUGUAUGGGAAUUAAAUGUUGUUCUAGAUAUACAGAAGGUCUCACCUGCAAAUUAUCAGUAUUUAUUUGCUGCCUUGUGGCUCACAAUUUUCUUAUUUUGUGUGUCCACUUUAAUAUAUACAUAUUAUAAAUUGUGGCACCAUUAUUCUUCCGACAAAAAGAGGGGCCUAAACAGAAGACGACGCAUUCAAUAGUAUCUGAAGUUUGAGUUGGUGGUGUGCGUCAAACAAGGAGGGCCAUAUUAUGUUUUUUGAUGACUAUUAUUAUUAGAAUUGAAGGAAAAUGGUAACAUCCCAUUAUUAAUAAUUGGUGAUAAUUGAUAAAAGAAAAUGAAAUUGUAUAUUGUGUGAGUGCAGUUUUCUAUAUACAUGCCGCUCAAAUUUUUUCACGUCAUGUUUUUUGGUAUUAAAACUUUUCUAUUUAACGCCUUAGUUUUCUAGCUUAACAUUAUUUUGGUUCACUAUUCCAAUAUUUUGGGCGUAUAAAUUUAUUAAAAAAAAAAAUACUAAGUUACUUCGUUUUAAAAGGUUGUUAUA